rnacentral:rRNA from 1 species
UACGGAGGGUGCAAGCGUUAUCCGGAUUCACUGGGUUUAAAGGGUGCGUAGGAGGGCAGGUAAGUCAGUGGUGAAAUCUCCAAGCUUAACUUGGAAACUGCCGUUGAUACUAUCUGUCUUGAAUACCGUGGAGGUGAGCGGAGUAUGUCAUGUAGCGGUGAAAUGCUUAGAUAUGACAUAGAACACCACUUGCGAAGGCAGCUCGCUACACGAAUAUUGACUCUGAGGCACGAAAGCGUGGGGAUCAAACAGG